rnacentral:rRNA from 1 species
GAUGAACGCUGGCGGCGUGCUUAACACAUGCAAGUCGAACGAUGAAGCCCAGCUUGCUGGGUGGAUUAGUGGAGAACGGGUGAGUAACACGUGAGUAACCUGCCCUUAACUCUGGGAUAAGCCUGGGAAACUGGGUCUAAUACCGGAUAGGAGCGUCCACCGCAUGGUGGGUGUUGGAAAGAUUUAUCGGUUUUGGAUGGACUCGCGGCCUAUCAGCUUGUUGGUGAGGGAAUGGCUCACCAAGGCGACGACGGGUAGCCGGCCUGAGAGGGUGACCGGCCACACUGGGACUGAGACACGGCCCAGACUCCUACGGGAGGCAGCAGUGGGGAAUAUUGCACAAUGGGCGCAAGCCUGAUGCAGCGACGCCGCGUGAGGGAUGACGGCCUUCGGGUUGUAAACCUCUUUCAGUAGGGAAGAAGCGAAAGUGACGGUACCUGCAGAAGAAGCACCGGCUAACUACGUG